AAGAUACUGUGGGGUUCAGAAGAGAAAUCAUUUGACUGAGUCUGGAGAUGCAGAGGUUGGAGGAACUGAUGCUUCAGUUGAUUCUUUAAAAAAGUAAAGGUUGACUAGGCAGAAAACAGAGGGAAGUACCUUGUAAGCAAAGGUAUGGGGAUUAGAAAUAGAAUGAUGACUUGGGAAACUACAAGUAGUUCAUGAAAUUAGAUUGGAAAUGUGCCAUGAAAUUUGGAUUCAUUUUGAGUGUUUUAAGGGGAUGCUUUUGAUGGUCACUCUGGUAAGUAUGGAAGAUUUCAAAUCUGGCCAGGGAGAUCAGUUAGAAGGAUACUGUAGUAGUUAAGAUGAUAAGUGAUCUAAGGCUAGAAGGAGUGGGAGUGAAGAAGAGGGGAUAACCUUUCAAAUAAGUGUUUAUAUAAAAUACAGAUAUAAUUAGAACAUGGGAAAAUUUAGGCUUUCAGACUUUGGCAAGUGUGUAUCCCCCAUCCCCACCCCUGGCCUUCAUGAAAGAUCCUCACAUGUUCUUCAGAUGGGUGAACAUCUAAAGAUGUUCCUUCUAGACCAGGGCUUUGCUGCACAGAUUUUGCAAGUUUCUUUGGUUUGGGGGGCAGCCAUAUAUGAAAUGUUGACUCUCGGGAAGACAUCUGAACAGCUGCAGACUUCUCAUAGUAUUACUAAGUUCCUGGUCCUUCUUAUCAAUAGCAGGGCUAAUCUCACUGUCAUAUAUCUCUCAAAAUAUUUUUUUACCAAAAAUGGAGGCUUUUAUAUUUAAAACCCACUCAGGGAAGAAAUGGCCUUAGUUAUUGUCUCAAUUGCUUUAUUUUGCUUAGGGAUUUUAAAAUGUUUAUGGUUAAUAUCUCUUGGUAAAAAAAUACAUUCAAUAAUUAAAAAUCUAAAUAUAUCCAGUGUUUAUUUUCUCUUUUCUCAAAGCAGUAUAAACAGAAUAUUUGGGAAAUUCUCCCCUUAAGGCUCGGAGUGGUGACCCUGGGGAUUCAGAGAAUGGCUUUCUGUGACUGGAAUGAUUAAUAGGAGAUUAUGUUUAAGUAGACCUUAUGUAUUUUCAGUGGACCUUAUGUCACUAGCCAUCCUGGAGGGCAGUAGGGGGAAGAAGGUUUGGGACAGGAAGCCCUGAGCAGGACAGCAAAGCAGUACAGUGACAGUUUGGGCCUUGGACUCAAAUCGAGUCUCACACUUACCAAUGUGGUUUUGAGCAUGGUUUUUCACCUCUCUGGUACUUCUUAUGUAAAAUAGAAUUAAUAUCUUUUUGCAAUGAUGAGUGAGGGUGGGAAUGUAAGUAUUUAAUGGGAUUAUUUCUGUAAAUUGCUUGGAACUGGUGUGGAAUAUGCUAAAUGCUAUAUGAACUGUAGUUGCUGCAGAUAAUGAUGUUGACCUUGACGAGGAUCAAAAGAAGAUAGUUAACUAGAGGUACUUAUAUUUUAUAUUGUCAAUAAGGAUGUUGGGGUUUGCAAAAGAAAGUAAAACUAACUGACCUCAAGGUUUUCAAUGGCAUGCUAGUGUGAAGUCACUUCUCUGCCUUUUUUUUUCCCCUCUGCCAAAUAGGUUGGGAAAACAGAUGACUUUUGUCCAUGCCCUGAUCACUAAUCUAUUGCAUUUGCCUUAUUUCCAAAUAUAAAGUUGUUGAAAAUUUGUACAGUACCCAAACUGAAUAAAAGUAUCCUAAAAAAUGUAGUAAAAUGCUUUGGAAUUGGUCAAAACUGGAUUUGAAACCUGGCUCAACUACUUAGUAACUGUGUGAUCUAAGGCAUGUUACUUAACCUCAUUGAACCUCAAUUUCUUCAUCUAUUAUAAUAAUUAAUUUGCAGGGUUUUCAUGAGGGUAUUGUAAAGUGUAUGUUAUAAGCACGUUAUAAAUUGCAGGUAUCAUUGUUAGUUCUUGGGACAUUCACCGCGUGACAGAAACAACAGCAGGCCCUGGUGGCUGGGAGGACUUCAUGGAUCCAACAGCAACCCGAAGAAAUCCUACUCGGAUGGAUAUAAUACAACCUGCUAAGUGUCCUAGCACUUAUCAGGUUGUAUUAUCAUUGUCCGUGUCUAUGGCUCUCGUCUACCAGACUCUAAAUUCCUAACGGGCAAGGACAGUGCCUUAUUCAUCUUUGUAUUCGCAGUGCCUAAUCCGGUGCACAUUGUAGGCCUCAUUAAAUGUUUGUUGAAUGAAAAAAUGAAUCAUCAACAGACAUUAAUUGGGCGCCUGCUCUGUGAUCUCCAUGGGCUCAGCUUGUCCCCGCCAGUUGCCUACAACGUCCAAGCUGUCUUCAGUAUGCUUUCUCCUGAAGCUUACUCCUAUCUCCUAAUUCUUUUGCCAAGGACUUUUCUGUGUAGUGCAAAAAUAGCAAAUACACUUUAUCUCAAGUACCAUCUCCAGUUGAUUGAUAGUACCUGUCUUGAUCAUGUUUUAUAAAAAGGAUUCUGAAGCCAGAUCUCAGCUCAGUAUGAAAGAGGAUUAUAACUAAUUAGUGAUGUUUGCUGGGGGUGGGAGAAGGGGAGUAGCAGCACAAGUGCCACAUAUAUGUCAUAUUUAAUAUUGUAUUUUCCAUGAAAUACUCUGUUUCUAUGCCUGUAUUUUAGUCUUGGCUACUUGCAGAUGUUGCAUUGUUGCUGCUGCCACUACUACACUUGCUGCCAGUUGCUCCUUGGGUAGGACCAGAGUGAUCAUUGAUCAGAAACUUCAUCCUCACAGUCUGGGGUUUGCUCCUGUGGCUGGUAUUCACAGUUUUCCCCUUUCAACUAUACCUCAGCUAUCCCCUUACCUACAUUAACAGGUAGGCCUCCAGAUUAUGUUCACCACUCAACAGGCUCAUACUUCCUUUUUCUUAUUUAGUGUGAUUAAUCAUUAUUGCUUCAUGAGAAGUCUUUUUUCUGUUAGAAGAUGUGACAACUAGAAUACAAGUUAACCAAUUCCAUCAGGGCCCUACAGUGAGUCAUAAAAGCUCCCUUUUAAUGUAGGAGAAAAUUGAGCAUGCUCACAGACUACAGGGCAGGGAAAAGGGAGGCAUUGUACAUGUGGGAGAGAGAUGAUAACUUUUGGCUCUUAGAACACGGGUGGAGGGUUAGCCUUAGAUGAAAGGAGUUACCUCUUCACUGGGGCAUAGUGAUAAGAAUAAGAGUUAGGAAGAGUACCUGAUAAGGGUGUUGAAGAUUUGUAAUUGGAGAGGUGGAUGAUAGAGAGGAAGCUGACCAGGGACAGGAUUAUGGAGACAAGAGUCUAAGGAAUAUCCAGGCCAGAAGGCUGGAUUGGAGAGCUUAUGACAUAUCAAAGUGAACAACUAGUUUAAAACUUGAUAAUAGACUCAGGAAAAUAUAAAGUGGUCUUGGGCCAUUGUUACAAGUAACAUUUGGUUGCCUGGAACUGAUCUUGAUUGAUUGACGGAUGGACAGCUAGCAAGAGAGGAGUUACACAGAAAUGGAUUUGAGGAUCCAGACUGUAUAUGGAAGGAAGCUCAGAGUCUGUAAAGAAAAAGAGGCCUUAGUGCAAUCAAGAUGGGUGCUGAGUAGUUGGAAAACUAGAAUGAUAGGACCUGUAUCAGAGGCUGAACUUUGGAAUGUUAAAAUUCUAAAAUUGGAGUGAUCAAGAUACCUGUAAUGGUAGGAUGUCAGAUGGUUGUUUACCUGGAUACUGAAGUGACCCAGGAUUAUAGCAAAAGCUGGGCUAGGAAUGAACACUGUGGGCUAGAUAAAAUAGGCUUCAGUGACUGAGGAAUGAUCUGGAGGUUGGCACAUGACAGUUGUGCAGAUGCAAGAGAAGAGAGGAUGUAGUGGGAUGGUAGUAUGAGCCUCAGAAGAGUGGUGGGGAUUACUAGAAGAUGAAAAAACUGUGGUUUGCCCAUUGCACUGAGGUUUGGGCUGGCAGAAUGCACAUCUAAAAUGAUCCCCUCCUUUAUUAAGUGCUUGUUCUAUAUCUGACACUUUGCUGUGUGCCAUCUGUUUAUCCCUUUUGGGUCUGUCAACAUUUCAUGUGUGAAAAUGAGCAGCAAUCACAGGCAAGGAUAGCUAGGCUGCUGGCCCUUAGCACUGGUGGAAUCCUGUGGCCAUCUCCUAACUCUUUGAAAGAGCAGCAAGGCUGGUCAUCUGGAAGUAUGAUAAAAAGAUUUGUUUAGGAUUAAAAUUUUCCCUUGACCUUGAUGUAACUUCAUUACAUGGUACAGGCUUUUAUUGGUUGUGUUCCAUAAUGUGCUUUGGCUUCUGAGCCUCUGAGUUGAGGCGUGAACUAGAACUGCCCUUUGAAAAAGGCACAGUACUUUAAAAACACACGUGUUGAUUAGAACAAGACACAGUCCUAUUAUCUAAUUGAGCUUUUAAGAUAAAGAGUAGACAAAAGAAAGCCCACAUCAGUGGGUGAAUAACAAAACCACUUUGUAAAAGCCAUUUAGGUUCAGGAUACAUCCAGUCUGGUGGCCAUAUUGUAGAUGUUCCCUGUGCUGUUGGGAAGGAUGGCUGGAAAUUGAUGCAAAGAGAUGACCCUUAGGACUUGGAAGGUAAAGUUUAGGAAGAGAGUCUCUGUGAACCCUCUGAAAUUGCAUGCAGUCAUUUUUCUUUUGUUAUAGUCUUCAAAUGAGCUAAUAUUCCAAUAAAGGUUUAGAGCCACUGUGUUAGGGUGACCAGGCCCUCAGACAGCCCAUCCCCUCCCGUGGGGGCUGCUCUAUAUUUAUUCCUCAGGAGGAGCUGGUAGAAGACUUCAUGAAGGAGAAGAAAAGGAAAAAAUCAGAGGAUGACUACAGCCUCUCUUCAUCCCAGCUUUGCAAAGCAUGACUCAAUGGAUAGAUCACUCUUUUGAAGACUCUCCAGACCACAGGCCAUCUGUCUGUAACAGGCUCCAGCUGGGAAGAGCCUUACUGUGAAUGAGUGAAUGAAGAUUCAGUAUUCAUUCAUCUGCAAUGAGCCCAGUACCUUUGGCAGGUAUUCAUUCAUCUGCAGUGAGUCCAGUACCUGAAGGAGCAAGACAACAACAAGCAUCCAGGGGGACAACAGUGUGGCCUUCUGAGUGAAGAUAGCAACUGAAAAGAUCAUGGGAUUGGCUGCAUUAGGCUGGGCUUGUUUCUUUUUUGAAAAUAAAAAAUGUUUUCUUUUUGAUGACAAAAGUAACAAGUGGUCAUUGUUAAAAAAUAAAGUGAAAGGUAUAAAUUAAAAAGUAAAUAAUACCUAUAAUCUUAUAACCCAGAAAAUAAUUCAUAACAUUUGCAUGUAUUUCCUUUUACUCUUUAAAAAAAGUGUAUAUAACACAGUUUAAAAAUAAAAUUGACAUUGUAUGUUAUUCUCUUUUCUCAUUUGAGAAUAAACAAGCAUUCUCCUAUAUCAUUUACAUUAUUUAAAAAUACAGUAUUGUCACAUAAUAUUUCAUAUGGUUCUAACAAAAUUCAUUUACAGUAAGUCCCCCUACAUAUGAACCUUCGAGUUGCAAACUUUCAAAGAUGCGAAUGUGUGUUAACAUGUCCAGUCAUGUAAGUUAGUUCACGUGUCUGGCAUACAUGGUCAUGUGCAUGCAUCCUCUACAAGUGGUUGUGCUUUUGUGUACUUUAUACCGUACUGUAUACAGCAUAGUAGUACAGUAUCUUUAUUUCAGGCCCAGAAUGUGAGUGAAACUGAAGCUUACCCAGCCGCAUAGCACAGGGAGAUCAGCUCAGUGCUUUGUGACCACCUAGAGGGGUGGGAUAGGGAGGAUGGGAGGGAGACGCAAGAGGGAGGAAAUAUGGGGAUAUAUGUAUAUGUAUAGCUGAUUCACUUUGUUAUAAAGCAGAAACUAACACACCAUUGUAAAGCAAUUAUACUCCAAUAAAGAUGUUAAAUUUUAAAAGUAUUUUUAAAUUAAGGUAAAAAAAAAAUUGAAGCUUACCUAUUGCUGAUGAUGAUCCUUCAGCUCUACCGUCUCCCACCUCCUCUCCCUCCAGUCAGUAACUAACUCUUCUUGCCUGUUCACUCGAUGCCAGCCCUUGUAUGCCAGCUGUUAUACUGUACUACUGUACUUUUCAAGGUACUGUACUUUAAGAUUAAAAAUGUUUUCUUUAUUUUUUGUGUUUGUUUUUUAUGUAUUAUUUGUGUGAAAAGUAUUAUAAACCUAUUACAGUACAGUACUUAUAGCCUAUUGUGUUAGUUGGGUACCUAGGCUAACUUUGUUGGACUUACGAACAAAUAGGACUUAUGAACACGCUCUUGGAAUGGAACUUCUUUGUAUAUAGGGGACUUACUGUGGAUGAUCCCAUGAUGCAGACAUUUUGGAUAUUAUCAAUUUUGUCUAUAAAAUUAAAAUACAAUGAACAUAAUUGUACAUUAACCUUUAUGUGCAUCUCUAUUUCUUUAGAAUAAAUUUCUAGAAUUGGAAUUACUGAGUUUGAUGAGAGCAUUAUUAGGGCACCUGAAAGAUGUUGAAUUGUCCUCAAUAUUGUUGUACAAAUAACAUUCCCAUCAGUGGUGCAUAAAUGUGCAUCAAAAUAAGCCCUUUCCUUUUAUAAAUCUCUCAUCACUUGACAGGCAAAAAUAUCCAUUUGUUUGAGAUUUUUAUUUCUAAUUUGUAUACACUAAAAUUCACUCAUCAUGUAUAGUUCUAUAGUUUUGACAAGUAUAGAGUCAUGUAUCCUUCCACUCCAGUACCAUACAGAAUGGCUUUAGCAUUAAUAAUUUCUCUUGAUUGCUCUUUUUGUUGUAAACCCCUUUCCCUCAAUCCCUGGAAACCACCUAUUUGUUCUCCAUCCCUAUGGUUUUGCCUUUUCCAGAAGGUCAUAUGAAUGGAGUCGUGCAAUAUGUAGACCUUUUGAUCUGGCUUCUUUCACUUAGUAAAAUGCAUUUAAGUAUCAUCUAUAUUGUUAUGUAAAUCAAUAUUCAUUAUUUUUAUUGUUGUACUUCACU